rnacentral:rRNA from 1 species
GAUGAACGCUAGCGGCAGGCCUAACACAUGCAAGUCGAGGGGCAUCAUGGCGUAGCAAUACGCUGAUGGCGACCGGCGCACGGGUGCGUAACGCGUAUGGAACCUACCCACCGCAGGGGGAUAACCCGCCGAAAGGCGGACUAAUACCCCAUGGUUCCCCGACCCUGCCUGGGGUUGGGGGUAAAGCCUACGGGCGGCGGUGGAUGGCCCUGCGUGCCAUUAGCUGGCUGGUGGGGUAACGGCCCACCAGGGCGACGAUGGCUAGGGGGUCUGAGAGGACGAUCCCCCACACUGGUACUGAGACACGGACCAGACUCCUACGGGAGGCAGCAGUGAGGAAUAUUGGUCAAUGGGCGGAAGCCUGAACCAGCCAUGCCGCGUGCAGGAUGACGGCCCUACGGGUUGUAAACUGCUUUUCCCGGGGCGAAUAACCCCUCGCGAGGGGAGUGCCGGUACCGGGGAAGUAAGGAGUCGGCUAACUCCGUGCCACGCAGCCGCGGUAACUGUAGUCGU